GGGGUGUGUUGUGUCCAAUCAGGACACAGCAUGUAACAAGUAGUGUAUCAAACCCAUAGUUUGAGAAAUGCAUGACUAAUACUAUCAUUGAGGCGAUUUGUGAGUGAACGGUGCAUGUUCAGUGUGAAUUCUUCGCUUAUUGUACUGUGGGGUAAACAUUCAGUGUACGAAUCACUCACUGAGCCCAAUAUACCCAGUAGAUGAAUAGCAUACCAUUGGACAGUACACUUAAAACCUCAUGAUUUAUAAACAAAUUCAUUUUUACAAACCUGUUUGUCAAAGCAACAGCCACAACAAUCUCGUCUCCCGGUCCCAGAAGCCGUGAUCUGAACCGAAUCCUGAACUGUUCAGCUGUGUAUCAGUUCAGGACGUCGGCGUCGCAGGCUUCUACGGAUUCCAGUGAUUCUGUACAUCUUAAAGAACUGCCGUGCCCAUCACUAUUGAAAAUGGGUGGUAUGGAGACCUCUACAGAUAUGCUUUGUAGACCCCAAUCUGUGCAUGAUGCAUUCUCACAGACCUUAGCCUAGACUUCUAAUGACCUGACCUGUGCUGACCUGAUCAUGAGGAACUUUAAAUAUAUGUUGCACAGGAAACUCAAUCUUUAAAACUAAGUUCAGUCAGACAGCUCAUGUUGUAUUUGGAUUUGAUACGGUUUGUAUUUAGAGUCUGGGCUCAGGCAGUUUUAUUUUACAUGCACAUACUGAAGAGUGAUGAGAUAAUAUAGUUAAACACCUUGUUGGAGUCUGCUGGUGGAUGCUUUAUUGGGUAGGUGGUGGUAUUUAAGUAUAAGCAAAGCACAGGUGCAGGGCAGUGUCGCCAAUCAAUAAAAGAGCCGAGGGAGUGACUGGAAGUCCUGCAGUGUGUGAAUACGGUAUUUGAACGUGUGGGAAAUUGGUGGAGCUAGGGUUGCCUGUCUGGACUAGCUCAAAGGCGUUAGAGAAAUAUGACCAAAGUUCCUAUAAAAUCAAUCAAACCUCUAAAGGCUGUGUUAAAAAGGAGUAAUUCAACACUGUGUCUGGUUUUGAACGUGAAAUGUGUCGUGUUCUACUGGGUGAAAGAGUCAAGGGCUUUCAGGCAGAUAGUAAAACUAUAGUGAACUCUUAUCACUCUCCCUCGCCACGGGACAAGUUUUCAGUGUGGGCCUUUUAGUUUCAGGUGUAUGUGAUUACAGACAGAGAAUGCCUGAACUUUAUUGUCGGUGUCUGAAGUCACUCUUCUGUUUGCCCUCUACUCUUGAAUGACCUGCAGGCAGUGAGAUAGUAGCCUCUGAAGUCCUCACGUGCGAAUACAUGAGCUUAACCUUCAUAAAGAUAAUGAAAUCAGUGAAAUUACAUUUGACCUACAGAAGCAACCAGGAGGCCCCGAGCUGAAAAAUGUAGUUUGUUUAACUGCAUUUUUUUUCUCAUGCGUACAUUUCUUACUUUUGCCUCUAUGUGACAACAUCCCUGUAGUUUUAUUUGGUAUUUUUCUACUUCACUUUGCACCAUUAAUUUAAAGUUGGAGCAUUUUAUCGUCUUUAUUUAGCAUUUUAACCCACAAACUCAAAAUCAAAGCACUUUUCACUGUCACUUCAGCCCCUUUUAGUCUUGAAAAUUCCAUGAAAUUACCCGGGCGAGCUACACGUGUGAACAGAAACAGCCAAGAUUUCAACCCUGACUCCACCAGGAGUUUUUCCAACUGGUGCCAUUUCGAGGUAAAGUCCGGGUGACCUCACAGCCAAUCUUCCAGAUAAUUCCCUGUGAGUAGCCAAGUGGGGAGUGGGUGGGUGUCUCAUGCUGCCGGUGUUCUGCAUAGUUUUGCUACUUGGUUGAAAAAUGAUUUCUAUUUCUUGUCUCAUGGAUGGAAAGGUCGCCAAAGCGUGCCUGUCUUUGUUCGCUGACUUUUGGUACACAUCUUCGAGGGAAACAAAGAGAACAAAGCUGAGAGUUAAUUUAAACUUCUGGUGGAGUUUCAUCAAAGGGUCAGGGGUUUUAAUCUUUGAUAGGGGUCAUAAAAAAAUGCAGCGUUUGUUUGAUGUCAUGAUCCGCCUCCUGAAACCCCCCUACGCCUCCCUCUGACUUCACUAUGGGGACGUGUGUGUGAACAGUUCAGUCAGGUAAAUUUCCAGGUGAAAUUUUCCGUAGUGUGUGUGUCUGUGAAGGGCUUUACUGUUGCUAUGUUACCAGAGUUGUUUCCUCUGGAUAGUGACAAUAAAGUCUGUCUUAACGUUCAUAUUAUACGUCAUGCUUUUACCCGUGUCACAGCAUUGGCAGCAGCUCUAGACCCUGAAAUCAAACUCGUGAAAAUCUAGUGUGGUUAGUUGCGGCUUUGUACUGACCUCCACCUUUAUUGUUGACAAAGUUGAUGACCUGUUCUGAGCUGUGAUUGGUCAGGAAUGAAGAACGGACGUCAGUGUAAACAAAAGUGGUUCAGAGUGAAGCUAUUGUUAAAUGAGCAGAAAAGAUAAAUGAGCUGAAUGUUGGGGGCAUUUUUUGCGCUUUGGAUACCGAAAACCGAACUGCAAUGAUUUUGCAAAGAAAAUAGGCCCUUCUAUUUGUGGACACAGGUCCUUACUGUCUACACUUACCAAAGGCGAGGAAACUCAUUCACACGAAUUAAUUACACGUUAAGUCAAUGCAAAGAUGCAAUUGGACAAUCUUACUACUCCGGCGGCGCAAAUGACUCGAAUCGGGCAGGAGCUGAGAAUGUCUCAACUUGAGCGGAUAUUCGUGUCGCGACAACCAACCAGCAUGAAGGUUCACUGUUAUCUAAAAUGGAGGACAAACUGAAUGUGUCGGUGUGUGGGUCCCCUGAAUUAGAUGAUACCUUUUCUUUUAAUUACCGAAACCGGAAUAAGAAGGAGCUCGCCUGGAGGCAAGUGAGUGAGGAGGUCGGUUUCCCUGGUAAAUUGUAAAAAACCUUUGUCUAUCACUUGAUCCAGCCGGUUGAAUUGGCAAGGUUUACCACUGAAAUGACCGUUGAUGCGCGAAUGAAGCGUGUAAAUACUAUUCAUUCAUGCGAAUUAAGCGAGUCGAUGAUUUUACUUGCGCUUGGUGUGAGCGUCCCAUUACUCCUCUUUCCACUCUUAUGACUGAUGUCCAUAGUCCUAAAAUAAAUGUGCUGUUUGGUGCAAUAAAGAGCAUUUCUUUGCAAAUGAAUAGAAACCCAGUGGUCGUGGAAGUGAGGCUAAUUAGCCUGAUUAGGGUUUACCAUUGUCCUCUUUUUGGGGGCGGUCCGGCUUUGUCCGGGGAAGUUUAUCAAAUCCUUCAGUUGUCUGUGGACUUAAUGAGUUAGAAGUGUGUAAGAAACACUCGGACCCGGAAAACUCUCAAAAUUAGCUACGCGCAACUCUGUGACUCCACCCCUUUAUCAUUUUAGCACUUGCUGUGAGCCUCCUUAUUUAUACACUUAUUUAUUCUUUUGCAUUACUGUAUUUCUGCUUGCGUUAUCUUGUUUUUUGAUUGUUUUAUUUGUUUUUAUGUCACUGUACAGCACUUUGGCUACCCUUGUGGUUAUUUUAAAUGUGCUAUACAAAUAAAGUUGAUUGAUUGAUUGAUUGAUUGAUUGAUUGUAGUUGUGUCCUCUUUUUGGGGAUUCGGAGUAUGGUCACCCUAUAUUAAACUAAUAAAGGCUCCCUGAAUGGGAAUAAUGUCCAUCUAUAGUUCAACAGAAUAACGUUCUCAAGUGUCACGAUGUGUGAAAACUAAAGAAAAAACUCCAACUAAAUUUAGGGAGAUUGUCUCUAAGCUAGUUAGCUAAACCAGAGGACUAAAAAAUCUUUCAGAAAUCCACAGUGAAAGUUCAGUUAUAUGGAUGUCCUCGAGUGGAGAGGCUUCGGAGGUACUUCUCCAAGAUUUUCGCAGUCGGUCACCUAACCUCUGUGCGCAUCAGCAAGCUGGAACGGGAAAGAAGAGUUAAACUUACUUAGUGACUUCUCACCGGAUCAGCGGCAGCUCUCCUGCCCACUCUGAUCAAACACUGCUGGACUUGUUGCUUCGGACAAGAGCAGAUUCUGCCAAACUGAGAUUACAUAAACGUCAGACUGUAGAGUACCCGGUACUGCGUGAUAACUCCCAUUGAGCAAACUAAUCAAACAAAAGCUCCUGUUAUGUAAGCGGCACAGAAAUGACACAGAAUUGCGCUCAGCAACUUUCGGCUCUAGUUUGAAGUAAAGUGAAGGAAUCAAAGCGUGCGCAGGACAUCGAAUCUCUGUUUUUGGCUCUGUGAAGCUCACAGUCUGGGAAAAAUCCACAGUCACCCACUGUUUCCGGGAUAAUAACCACAUCUGUGUUUUUCUGAGGUUUGAUGGACAAACAGCGCAGGGGGGUAAAUGUACAGACACAGUGUACGUGUUUUUGCUCGAUCCCACAUCUGUCUGCUUGAUUUGGAGUGUAACGCAGUUCUCAUCAGUCAGAGGGGAGAAAACACGGACCCUUAACCUCCUACAAAUGGAUGUUUGUCCAGAUGGGUGUUAUUUUGACCACGAGGGCACAGACAAGCUAAGAAUAGCCCCCAGUCUCAAAUACUAAUAGCUGAAGCAAGUCAAAACAAAAUUACAGUGAGGCCUUUUCAAUGGGAACGCUUAUUAAAAACCAACAUUUCAGUGAGUGACGCAGAUUGAUCAAAUCAUCCUUCCUGUCUGACAUCUUUUUUUGUGUCUUUAUCAUUCAUCUCGUUUCUUCUACUCUCAUAAACGGUAUGCUUUUUUAGUCUCAACUACGGCUGGGCGAUCUGGGGAAAAAGUUUAUCACCAUAUAUUUUUUUCAAA